GGGGUCCAUCCGAUCCGGCUCCGUCGGGCGUCCUGUAAUCCUCCCAGCAAUGGGAGGGUCAGGCGUUUGCCGUACAGCCGUUGUAGAUUUGCAGGCGAAAGGGAAUCUGGUACUAUCCAGAA
rnacentral:rRNA from 1 species